rnacentral:rRNA from 1 species
UACGAAGGGGGCGAGCGUUGUUCGGAAUUACUGGGCGUAAAGGGUGCGUAGGUGGUUGUUUAAGUCUGUUGUGAAAGCCCCGGGCUCAACCUGGGAAUGGCAAUGGAUACUGGACAGCUAGAGUGCGGUAGAGGGUAGUGGAAUUCCCGGUGUAGCAGUGAAAUGCGUAGAGAUCGGGAGGAACACCAGUGGCGAAGGCGGCUACCUGGACCAGCACUGACACUGAAGCACGAAAGCGUGGGGAGCAAACAGG